GAGAAUUUGUGCUGGAUUUGGUGCUUGUAUCACCAUGUGAACAACUGUUUCAGUUAUUUGCUGCACUAUUCAGGAUCUUGCUGCGCGGGUCUAUGGUUACGCAGAAUAAAAGUGGCGAGAGGCUGUUUCCCUGGAAUAUUCUGCUCUGAACUCAUUUGUCUGGGGCGUGGCACGCUGUCAAAUGGCUUUUGGUAAUCAAGCCAUGCUGAGGUUUCUUCCCCAUUUUUGCAGUCUAAUAAUAAAUAAUACAUUUCAUUUAAAGGAGCCUUUCUUGACACUCACGGACACUGUACAGUAAAACCUGAAAUUCAAUAAAAGAAACAAUGUUUCUGAUUUGAGGUGGUAAUGAACUCCAGAGACGGGGAGCACAGUGAUUGAAUGCUCUGCUCCCCAUGGUAGUGAGACAGGUAGAGGGGACAGACAGGUGAAUGGAAGAGGAUUUGAGGGAGCAGGAGGGAGUGGGGACAUGGAGAAGCGAGACUGCAUAUGGCGUUGAAUGGCGUUAACAGGAGGAUUUUGAAUUGAAUACGAAACUGAACCGGAAGCCAGUGGAGCUGUUGACGGACAGGUGGGACAGGUGGAGAUGAUUAAUGUUGUGUAAAUGGAAGUAGACAGAGCUGGUAAUAUUUUUAAUAUAAUAUUGGAUAGCUUUAUUUAACAAUAAUUGAUCUUUAUGUCCUAGUCUUUGAAACAAUCUUUCUGUUCAUUUUCCAGGUAGCCACCAGUGUCAAGACGUCCAUAAAUGGCAUCAGAUAUGAUUCCUGUCAGCCAUUUGUAUGUUGUUGUUAGGCAACAGAUGGGUCUGUGCUUGUUGGUAAGCUAUGUUUCCUUGGUCUUUGGUAGGAAGCUUGUAUUCCCAAUCAUUAGCCAGUCUGGUUUGUCCUCAUCUCUGUUCAGUGUUUAUGAAAGCCACAGCAUAGUGGUGGUGCAAUGCUGUCAACCUUUUCAACCAAAAAUGUGGGAUUUUAUCAAUGCCAGGUGCCUUGAAGUAUGAAUUAUCAUGUGUGUCUUCAGACUGCUCUUGUGUCCAAAGCUAUGACCACACUCAGAACAGACAUAUGGUUUUUGUCCUGUAUGAAUUAUAAUGUGUCUGUUCAGGUUGCUCUUCUGUCCAAAUCUUUGACCACACUUAGAACACACAAAUGGUUUUUGUCCUGUGUGAAUUAACAUGUGUGUGUUCAGAGUUGCUCUUUUGUCCAAAUCUUUGACCACACUCAGAACAGACAAAUGCUUUCUGCCCUGUAUGAACUAUCUUGUGUAUGUUCAGGUAGCUCUUUUGUCCAAAUCUUUUAUCACACUCAGAACAGACAAAUGGUUUUUGUCCUGUAUGAAUUAUCAUGUGUUUGUUCAGAGUGCUCUUUAGACCAAAUCUUUGAC